rnacentral:precursor_RNA from 10 species
AAUAGAAGAGUUGUCAUACUUGUUCCGCCCUAGCAGCACGUAAAUAUUGGUGUAGUAAAAUAAACCUUAAACCCCAAUAUUAUUGUGCUGCUUAAGCGUGGCAGAGAUUCAGCAACUCCUUUAUG